rnacentral:tRNA from 1 species
AAGGGUAUGGUUCAGUGGUAGAGUACAUGCUUAGCAUGCAUGAGGUCCUGGGUUCAAUCCCCACUACCUCCA